rnacentral:rRNA from 1 species
UCAGAACGAACGCUGGCGGCAGGUCUUAGGCAUGCAAGUCGAACGGAUGACAAGGGAGCUUGCUCCUGAAGUCAGUGGCGCACGAGUGAGUAACGCGCGGGAAACUGCCCUUCACUGGGGAAUAACGUUUGGAAACGAACGCUAAUACCGCAUACGCCCGCAAGGGGAAAGAUUUAUCGGUGAUGGAUGUGCCCGCGUUGGAUUAGCUAGUUGGUGGGGUAAUGGCCUACCAAGGCGAUGAUCCAUAGCUGGUCUGAGAGGACGAUCAGCCACGCUGGAACUGAGACACGGUCCAGACUCCUACGGGAGGCAGCAGCUAAGAAUAUUGGGCAAUGGAGGAAACUCUGACCCAGCCAAUGCCGCGUGAAUGAAGAAGGCCUUCGGGUUGUAAAGUUCUUUUAGUCAUGAAGAUGAUGACAGUAGUGACAGAAAAAGCACCGGCUAACUUCGUGCCAGCAGCUGC